rnacentral:RNase_P_RNA from 1 species
AGCUGAGCGAUCGCGUGAUAUUACGCCGAAAGGUCGUAUCAUGAGGAAAGUCCGGGCUCCGAAGAGCAGGAUAACGGAUAACGUCCGCCGAAGGCGACUUCAGGGAAAGUGCAACAGAAAUAAACCGGAUGCUGUGCAUCUAAGGGUGGAAAGGCGAGGUAAGAGCUCACCGGCGCACUGGCGACUUUGCGCAAAUGUAAACCCUAUCCGGAGCAACACCGUUUACGGGAGCAGAGUGCGUUUGACAGUCUGAUGUCUGCUCGGCAGAAUCCCGUGGGUGGCAUGAGUGGCGCGGUAACGCGGCAUCGAGAUAGAUGAUCGCUGUGUGCAUAAGCACAUACAGAACCCGGCUUACAGGCUCAGUU